AUUUUUCGGACUCCCUAGGGUACGCGAAAACGUCCAAAAAAUCAGGCAGUCUGAAAAAAUAAAUCCAUGUCUUU
rnacentral:lncRNA from 1 species